rnacentral:sRNA from 1 species
CAAAAAGGUAGUUUUUUUCCCAAGUUUUAUUGUAAAAUCCUCAGAAAAAGAGCAUCGACAAUGACUGUCCCUUAUGAUGAUCUGUGACUCUUUUCUCAAGUGGUACAGCGAAUACAUCGUGUGUUCAGUACAAUGUCAUACACCAAAAUAAACACAAACUUAUUUCAAAUGCCACAUACGGUUACUGGGUUGGUACAAAUCUCUACUAAAGUUGAUGUAUUAAAAAUAAUUUUAUAUAUCUUAUAAAUAAGGAAAAAUUCACAUGUGUAUUAAUAAUUACAGGUGGCCUUUUGAGAAGUACCGAUUACAGAAAAUAUAUUUUGGAGUCUACACAACUGCUCAAAAGAAUGUAACCUGCCUCAAUGUAAGGGAGAUCCAAAGGUUUUUUUUUUUUUCUGAGGUGGGGGAGAGGAUGCCUCUCUUGAUGGUGUGUGGGGAUCCACAACUCGAGGGUCAUUUGGCAGCACAACAGUGUGAAACAGUGUGCGACCACUCCAGCAAAACUUCAUGCCCAGUUUCACUUUGGGUCUUUUUUUUUUUUUUUUUUUUAACACAGCCUUCAGGAAGCAGGGCAGCAUCACUGGGGAACCAUGUGGGGAGCCAUGGAGUCAGGUCAGGGAGGGAAGGCAGAGGAGGCAGGCAGGGAGGGUGUGAGUUUGGGGUGCUACCAUCGUGGGGCACAGUGGGUCUGGCCUCCUAUAGGCUUGUUUCUCUCCCAUCCCUGGAGAUGGCAUGCUAGACAGCGGAUGAGGAUUUAGAGUUUAGAGAGCCCUGGGUCUCUCAGCUAGCCAAGGCUGGGUUCUCUUUUUUAGAAGGUGAACUUUGGAGAGCAACAUGUCACCAAGGCUUGGUGUAGGGGGUCAGUCCAUACACAAGGCUUUGUGGCUGGGUUCUUUAGAGUUGAUUAGGGUAGGGGCCAUGUUCCGUAGGCCACGAGUGACUUUUCGUCGGAACCCUAAAGCAGUAAGGCAUCGUGAGCAGAGGCCACAUGAUGCCGGAACAGUAGGAAGCUGAUGCUCCUUGAAUGGUGGGAGCUCUGGUGGGGGUGAGCUGUGGGAAAUGGACUGUCACUGGUCAUUAAGUUGAGCUUGGAAAGAAAGGUGCACAAGUGUGACUUUGUAUAAAAAGCAAAAACAUCCUCAAUGCGCUGGUGCUGGUUAAAAUGCCUCACUAUGAAUUCUGGAAGUCCAUUUCUUCUCUCCUUAUAUAUCCCUUAAUUUCUCUCAUUUUGUCUGGUUAAAUUAUACUUCCUUAAAGUGUAACUAGAUGCCCAAAGAGCAGAAGAAGAACAUGGAGGCCUAAGAUGAUGCUUGCUUAUAAUCUUUAGGCGCCUGAUGGGGAGCUGAUGGCCAAGUCCACAGGCUCAGCCAAGACACACAGGUCUUCAAGUUGGAGCAGUAAGCAGGAAGUAUAUUGCCUUCCACCAGUCAUGUGGCAUCUUGUGGUCAUACCCUGUGUGCCUUGCUCCUGCUGGAUCUUUUAAGUUAUCCCACUGAGCAUCUCUGUGGUUGUGGAGAAAAACCCAAUGAAGGCAGUAGGUGAUGUUCUUGAAGAAAACCAAUUUGCCUCUAUGGUGGCCUGGUUGCAAAUGGUAGCAUCUAGUCUGUUCAAACUUCUCAUUUGAACCCUCAAAGCAAGGAGCAUUGUGGGCAAAGGAUGCAUGAAGCUGGUGUAUUAGAGGGUUGUUGCUCCUUGACGGUUGAGGGUCAUCCUAGCGGGACUCAUGAGCAGGGGGCUUUGGGAUUCAGGGAGGGAACAAGAGAGUGAGUGAAGCGGGAACAGACAGAAGACAGAGGUUGGAGCGGGUGGGCUGCCAAGCAUGGGGACGGGGUUGAGAUGAAAUGUCACCAACUCUGUCACUGCUGGACAAAGGUCCGUCUUUCUGACCACCCUGAAGGUGGUUUCCCUAGUCUUUGGCUUCUAACUCUGUAGAAAUGAGAGCUAGGGCCUGGGCUGUGAUUCUGGACAACAAGGUACUAUCCUUAUGGGUUCUGAUCACACAUGGAGUGGGACUCAUGGUGGGGCUGGUGGAGGACUUCUGAUUUCAUGUUACAGUAGUCUUCCAUCACCUUUGGCCUCCUGGGGUGGCAUUCUGGGGGUGCUGGGUGCCUGGGAGGAAGAUGUGAGGUAGAUUGGUGGGUGUGCAGGGGGAGGGGGGCGUGGCGACAGUUCUCCAGGAGGCUUGCUUCUGGAAGGGAGGGUUGGAGAUGGUUCAACAUCAGAUGAAACAUAUGAAAUAGAAAUGAAGCAACUACACUUUAACCCAUGGUACAAAAAUAUAUCCAGAGCGAAUCUGUUUCACAUAUCACUUCUGAGAUCUCCCUUAGUUCACAGGUUAUUGGUCAACAGAUAAAACGAGAAGAUGCAGCUGCACAAAGCCAACCCCUGGCUGCUUAGCGGAGCAAAGAUUCGGAAGUUCCCAUGUCACGUGGCAGGAAGCGGAAGUUCCCAUGUCACGUGGCAGGAAGCAGAAGUUCGCAUGCUACGUGGCAGGAAGCUGCUGCUCUUGGCUUUAUUUGGGGUUGAAGCUGCCUUCCUGGGGUGUGUCCCUUCAAUUGGGAGCCCUUUCCUGAAGAGAGGAGCAGGUGGAGGGGGCGAUAGCUCAGUGUGUGGCAGGGGUAUGCAGCAGAGGGACUGAAGUUCUCUGGUGAUGCGCUCUCUUUCUGCAUCAAAGAACCUGCAGCUCAGCAUUAGUAUUUGAUCCCAGUCAUGAUUUCAGGCCUUUUCCAGCUUCUUCCCAGGAUCCAGGAAGGUAGCAGGAUGUGUGUGUGGUUUGAGGACUGAAGAGAUCCCUUUAGCAUAUUGGGGUGGCUGCUUAGACAGGAGGGUCACAGACUCAGAAGCAGGAAGUCUGUCUUCCAUGCACUCCUGGGUGGCUGGGUAGGAUGUUAAGAGAGAGGGCUUUGGGGCAGGCAGGCAAGAGAACCAGUAGCUACAGGUGCAGAGAAUUUUUGCUUUCUGGAAAGAAAAGAAUGGUUGGGUAUUUACAUCAUCAGUUGACUGUUAAGAAUUAUGGAUGGGGUUUAUAGAAACAGCUUUUCUGGUGACUUUGUUAGGUAAACCAAUCCUCCCUGGGUAAAAUGUUAGCUGUCGAUCUUUGUGUUCCUCAGAACAGCACCUUGGGCUGGGCUUGUGGUGCCAUCUUUUGCCAUUGGAUUUUCAACUCUACUCAUGAGUCUCUUCUGACCCCGAAGUGCAGAGAGGGGAAAGCCAGCAACAGAAAACAAAUGGAAAGAGCCCACACUCGUGACUUUUAACACUAUUCUUCAGAUGGUUUGUUCUUUCCAAGAAGAAGAAAAUAUCGUCUUCCUUUUCACCAUCUGGACUCCAGAGGAUCAUGCUGUUUGGCCCCCAAGAGUUAUCAACUCAGGAGAGUCAGGUUUGAAGCGUCUCUGGACCUCACAGUCCACAGGGUGGAUGACAACAAUACCAUCAUCGGAGAAG